AGUAUUCUGUAUCCGUGCUGAGAUUUCGUCACAUACUAGACCGCAAAGGCUGGUGAGACUCUCAAGAUAAGUGAAGUG
rnacentral:pre_miRNA from 1 species